rnacentral:rRNA from 1 species
GACGAACGCUGGCGGCGUGCUUAACACAUGCAAGUCGAACGGAAAGGCCCUGCUUUUGUGGGGUGCUCGAGUGGCGAACGGGUGAGUAACACGUGAGUAACCUGCCCUUGACUUUGGGAUAACUUCAGGAAACUGGGGCUAAUACCGGAUAGGAGCUCCUGCUGCAUGGUGGGGGUUGGAAAGUUUCGGCGGUGGGGGAUGGACUCGCGGCUUAUCAGCUUGUUGGUGGGGUCGUGGCUUACCAAGGCGUUGACGGGUAGCCGGCCUGAGCGGGUGACCGGCCACAUUGGGACUGAGGUGCGGCCCAGACUCCUACGGGAGGCAGCAGUGGGGAAGAUUGCACAGUGGGCGGAAGCCUGAUGCAGCAACGCCGCGUGCGGGAGGACGGCCGUCGGGUUGUAGACCGCUUUCGCCUGUGACGAAGCGUGAGUGACGGUAAUGGGUAAAGAAGCACCGGCUAACUACGUG